AUUGAACGCUGGCGGAAUGCUUUACACAUGCAAGUCGAGCGGCAGCGCGGGGCAACCUGGCGGCGAGCGGCGAACGGGUGAGUAAUGCAUCGGAAUGUACCCAGUCGUGGGGGAUAACACAGCGAAAGUUGUGCUAAUACCGCAUACGUCCUGAGGGAGAAAGCGGGGGAUCGCAAGACCUCGCGCGAUUGGAGCAGCCGAUGUCAGAUUAGCUAGUUGGUGAGGAAAGGGCUCACCAAGGCGACGAUCUGUAGCGGGUCUGAGAGGACGACCCGCCACACUGGAACUGAGACACGGUCCAGACUCCUACGGGAGGCAGCAGUGGGGAAUUUUGGACAAUGGGCGAAAGCCUGAUCCAGCCAUUCCGCGUGAGUGAAGAAGGCCUUCGGGUUGUAAAGCUCUUUCGGCAGGAACGAGACGGUCGUCUCUAACAUAGAUGGCUAAUGACGGUACCUGAAGAGGAAGCACCGGCUAACUACGUGCCAGCAGCCGCCGUAA
rnacentral:rRNA from 1 species